CAAGGAUGAGCCCGCGUAAGAUUAGCUAGUUGGUGGGGUAAAGGCCUACCAAGGCUACGAUCUUUAGCUGGUCUGAGAGGAUGAUCAGCCACACUGGGACUGAGACACGGCCCAGACUCCUACGGGAGGCAGCAGUGGGGAAUAUUGGACAAUGGGCGAAAGCCUGAUCCAGCAAUGCCGCGUGAGUGAUGAAGGCCUUAGGGUUGUAAAGCUCUUUUACCCGGGAUGAUAAUGACAGUACCGGGAGAAUAAGCCCCGGCUAACUCCGUGCCAGCAGCCGCGGUAAUACGGAGGGGGCUAGCGUUGUUCGGAAUUACUGGGCGUAAAGCGUGCGUAGGCGGUAAUUCAAGUCAGAGGUGAAAGCCUGGUGCUCAACAUCAGAACUGCCUUUGAAACUAGAUUGCUAGAAUUGCGGAGAGGUGAGUGGAAUUCCGAGUGUAGAGGUGAAAUUCGUAGAUAUUCGGAAGAACACCAGUGGCGAAGGCGACUCACUGGACGCA
rnacentral:rRNA from 1 species